UACGGGGGGGGCAAGCGUUGUUCGGAAUUACUGGGCGUAAAGGGCGCGUAGGCGGCCGUCUAAGUCAGACGUGAAAUCCCUCGGCUCAACCGGGGAACUGCGUCUGAUACUGGGUGGCUUGAAUCCGGGAGAGGGAUGCGGAAUUCCAGGUGUAGCGGUGAAAUGCGUAGAUAUCUGGAGGAACACCGGUGGCGAAGGCGGCAUCCUGGACCGGCAUUGACGCUGAGGCGCGAAAGCCAGGGGAGCAAACGGG
rnacentral:rRNA from 1 species